GGGGUACUGUAAGUGGUAGAGUAGCCUUGUUGCUACGAUCCACUGAGGUUAAGCCCUUGUUCUAAAGAUUUGUUCAACUUUGUUGGACUUUCUCUUUUUUCUUUACAUGCUGAACGCUGAGGGCCGGGAUAGUCUAUCUCGUGCACUCGCAACAGCAUGUUUCUUAGGUUCGAACGGGUAAAGUGCUAACGAUUUCGUUACCUUUCUUGUAAGAAUCAUGAACAUAAGGGAUCUGGUUAGCAACCGUUUGAACGCGCGCUGACUCUUUACCUUGUACUUGAUAUCGGCCUUAUGGUCGAUAUUCCGUAUAUGGUAUAGCCAAAGGACCCCUAAUUAGGCAUUCAGUGCGACUGGAUUGCCCGAUUUAGGCCUUGAAAUGGUCUUUGGGACUAAGUAAGCGCUUAGCUAUGGUUACUUUUGUAGCCGUUGCGACUGCUUGCUUGGGUUUCAAGGCCUAUUGAAGGGUAACUGGUACUGAAUCGAAAGGUUUAUUUGGUGAAUCGAAAGGUUUACUAAGUAAACCAUUGGUGAAGUCCGGUUUGUGAUAAUCUUGGGGGCUCUAAGGCGUGUUUUCUAAGAGCUGGACUAUAGUCGAGUUGGU
rnacentral:misc_RNA from 1 species